AAAAAACUAAUGUCAACAAUCAGCAUGGAAUUGGGAUAUUCGUAUCAAAGGGCUAUUCAUGCAGGAAAAGGACUGAAUAUUACUAUUAUAUGAAGAAUUCCAGCCUGCAUUAAAUACUUUGUUGGAUCAUUGAGACAGAUUUGACAUCCAUGUCUAUCCACAUCUGAUAGAGAUGAUCACUAAACAUUCUAGAUGGGUAAAGACCUGUUAAAUCAGCAUUGACUCAGCAUUGAGUAAUUUUCAUCUGUGCAGACACUACAAGUACAAACGCAUGGGAACAAACCAAACUUCAAAUGUUGAAGAGUGAAGAAUUAUUGUGAAAAGUUCUAAAUGUUAGAAUACCA